GGCUCAGGAUGAACGCUAGCGGCAGGCUUAAUACAUGCAAGUCGUGGGGCAGCAUGAGUAGCAAUACUUGAUGGCGACCGGCAAACGGGUGAGGAACACGUACACAACCUUCCUUCAAGCGGGGAAUAGCCCAGUAGAAAUUUGGAUUAAUACCCCAUAAUAUAUUUGAUAAGGCAUCUUAUUAAUAUUAAAGCUUCGGCACUUGAUGAUGGGUGUGCGGCUGAUUAGAUAGUUGGCGGGGUAACGGCCCACCAAGUCUACGAUCAGUAGCUGAUGUGAGAGCAUGAUCAGCCACACGGGCACUGAGACACGGGCCCGACUCCUACGGGAGGCAGCAGUAAGGAAUAUUGGACAAUGGACGAAAGUCUGAUCCAGCCAUGCCGCGUGAAGGAUUAAGGUCCUCUGGAUUGUAAACUUCUUUUAUAUGGGACGAAAAAAGGGCAUUCUUGUUCACUUGACGGUACCAUAUGAAUAAGCACCGGCUAACUCCGUG
rnacentral:rRNA from 1 species